CAAUAGCGUAUAUUUAAGUUGUUGCAGUUAAAAAGCUCGUAGUUGGAUUUCGGAUGGGACUUGCCGGUCCGUCGUUUCGAUGUGCACUGGCCAGUCCUAUCUUGUUGUCGGGGACUAGCUCCUGGGCUUCACUGUCCGGGACUAGGAGCUGACGAGGUUACUUUGAGUAAAUUAGAGUGUUCAAAGCAAGCCUACGCUCUGAAUACAUUAGCAUGGAAUAACACGACAGGACUCUGGCCUAUCGUGUUGGUCUAUAGGACCAGAGUAAUGAUUAAGAGGGACAGUCGGGGGCAUUCGUAUUCCGUUGUCAGAGGUGAAAUUCUUGGAUUUACGGAAGACGAACAUCUGCGAAAGCAUUUGCCAAGGAUGUUUNCAUUGA
rnacentral:rRNA from 1 species